UUUUUUUUUUUUUUUUUGCAGAUCAGCCACUCUCACGAUAAGAGCUUGUGUCUGAUUUUCCACAAUUUCAGCUCUUUCUCUAUAGGAGAUAAGACUCCACUCAGGGCAAUCUUAGCAGAUGGGAGGCCCAGUAUCUUCUUCUGAAGCUGGGAGACAGAAUCCUUGAAUUCAUCAUUUUCUUUCAUCACUUUGUCCACUGAACUUAGGAGCAACCAACCAGCUUCAUUAUGUCCCUUGAUUCUUCACAUAUGGUCAAAGAUAUUAUGUACAGAGUCACUAAACUCCUUGCCUCUCAUGAGUGGUGAAUCAACAUUGUCAAAUGCAUUUAUUUUGCAUAACUCUCUGAACAGUUCAUGCCAAACUAUCAGUGUUCUCCCUACUAUUAGAAGUAGAGUCCUUAGCAUUUUGGGGCCUAAUCAUAUUAAGCAGCCAACUCCAAAAACCCCCAAACCAACUAAAGAACUCUAUCUUUAAUAUUCUGUUCCUCUAGAACCACUCCUGGUACCAAAAUCUGUAUCAGUCAGCGUUCCCUAGAGAGACAGAACUAAUAGGAUAGAUAUAUACAUGUAAAGGGGAGUUUAUUAAGUUUUAACUUGCGUGAUCACAAGAUACCACAUUAGGAUCUCUGCAAUCUUGACGAGCAAGGAAAGCCAGUCUGAGUCUCAAAACUGAAGAACUUGGAGUCUAAUGUUUGAGGCCAGGAAGCAUCCAGCAUGGGAGAAAGACACACGCAGGAUUAAUACUUUGCAUACUUGAAUCCAAUCAACUUGGCACUCAGCAUUAACUAUCACAGGACCUGUUGAUGUGCUGACCAGCUGGAGUAUUCCCUGCUUCACUUGCCCCUUCCUGGAGUGCCAGUUAACCAGAUCAGUCCCUAGCCCACUGGGUUUGUUCUUCUCACGUUCAUUCAUGUCUCUUGUUUCCAUUGCUGAACCAAGACCCAUCUGCUGUGUGUUGCAAUAGAGUAUCAUCAUCUCCAUACAUCACUGCACUUGCAUGAGGGACUUGGAGCCACUCAGGAUGUGGUCAGGUCUCCUUACCGGCAAGUGUUUGUAGCAAGAUUUGAAUAAUAACAUCUGGAGCUUGAAGAUCAAGAAUGUCCUUGACGAUGCUGAUCCCUGGCUAUGGAUCAGGAAUGUCCUUGAAGAUGCUGAUCCCUGGCUAUUCCAUGAUUUGGGAAGCACAGGAAGAACUCAAGUAGACAUUACUCUGGAUUUCCUUAUUCUCAUAUCUCCUUUUAAUGCAUAAGGUUUGCUCUAGACUUUAUGUUUGUGUCCUCUUAAAAUUCAUGUGUUGAAGUCAUCACCCACGAUGUGAUGGUAUCAAGGAGGUGGGCAUUUGGUAGGAGAUUAGGUCAUGAGAGUGGAACCCUCAGGAAUGGGAUGGGUGCUGUUAUCAAAGAGACUCAGAGAGCUCUCCUGCCCCUCCCACCACGGGAGGACACAGUGAGGAGGUGCCCUCUGUGAACCAGGAUACGGGGCCUCACUAGACACAGAAUCUGUCAGUGCCUUGCUCUUGAAUGUCCCAGCCUCCGGAACUGUGAUGAUUAUGUUACUGUUAUUCACAUUACCAUCUACGGUAUUCUGUCACAGCAGCUCAAAUAGAUAGACGGCAUUACGGGCAAGAAUAUUAUUUUCAGGCCCCUUCCUUCUUCUUCCUAUUCUUACAGCAUUUCUUUUCUUUAGGAUAUUUAACAUUUCCAAACGUUAGAUGAUCUCAGAGACUUACAAAUGUGAUACAAAUUGGAACCUUCUAUACGCAUUUUAGCAAAAUAAACACUAUUUUGAAAUACCUGAAAUUGCAUAUAAGUUUUAUAUAUUUGGAACACACACACACACACAUUCUCUCUCUCUCUCAUCUCAAAGUUUGCUACGAUAGAGCACUAAGCAGCUGUUUGUCUUUGGUGAGUGUCUUACCUUUGACAUGCCAUGUUUGUUUCCCAGGUGUGAAAUGGUGAUAAGAAUAGUAUUUGUCAAUGAAUACUUACCAUGUUGUCUGUCACAUGUCCUUUUUUUAUUUAAAAACUUUUGUUGCACCUAUCAACCACCAUGGCACAUGUAUACCUAUGUAACAAACCUGCUCAUUCUGCACAUUUAUCUCGGAACUUAAAGUAAAAUACAAAAUGAAAAA
rnacentral:lncRNA from 1 species